CGGCGUGCCUAACACAUGCAAGUCGUACGAGAAAGCCGGCUUCGGCUGGUGAGUAAAGUGGCGCACGGGUGAGUAACGCGUGGAUAAUCUGCCCUUAAGUGUGGAAUAACGUACCGAAAGGUGCGCUAAUACCGCAUAAUGCCUGGCAACACAAGUUGUCCGGCCAAAGAAGGCCUCUGUUUACAAGCUUUCGCUUCAGGAUGAGUCCGCGUACCAUUAGCUUGUUGGUGGGGUAAUGGCCUACCAAGGCUGCGAUGGUUAGCUGGUCUGAGAGGAUGAUCAGCCACACUGGAACUGAGACACGGUCCAGACUCCUACGGGAGGCAGCAGUGAGGAAUAUUGCGCAAUGGGGGCAACCCUGACGCAGCAACGCCGCGUGAGUGAGGAAGGUUUUCGGACUGUAAAGCUCUGUCGAGCGGGAAGAAGUGUACCAUGGCUAAUAUCCAUGAUUAUUUGACGGUACCGCUAGAGGAAGCACCGGCUAACUCCGUG
rnacentral:rRNA from 1 species